rfam:Candidate division WWE3 bacterium RIFCSPLOWO2_12_FTLL_36_10 rifcsplowo2_12_scaffold_4362, whole genome shotgun sequence.
UUUUUUGAGAAUUCGAUCCUAGUUCAGGACGAAUGCUAGCGGCGUGCCUAAGGUAUGCAAGUCUAACCCCGCCUUUGGCGGAGUGGCGAACGGCUGAGUAAUACGCAGGAAUCUACCCUCAAGUAAGGAAUAACCCACCGAAAGGCGGGAUAAUACCUUAUGUGGUGGCAACACUAAAGUCUGUAUUUCCGCAAGGGAAUACAUUCGCUUGAAGACGAGCCUGCGGCCUAUCAGUUAGUUGGUGGGGUAAAAGCCUACCAAGACUAUGACGGGUACCGGGCCUGAGAGGGCGUACCGGCAGAGGGGCACUGAGACACGGGCCUCACUCCUACGGGAGGCAGCAAUCGGGAAUAUUGCGCAAUGGACGAAAGUCUGACGCAGCGACGUCGCGUGGAGGAUGAAGGCCUUCGGGUUGUAAACUCAUAUUAAAAAGCACCGGCUAACUACGUGCCAGCAGCAGCGGUCAUACGUAGGGUGCAAGCAUUGUCCGGAUUUAUUGGGCGUAAAGAGUUCUGUAGGCGGUAGUGUAAGUCAAUGGUUAAAUCCUUCAGCUUAACUGAAGAACUGCUUUUGAUACUGCAUUACUAGAGAUAGUUAGGGGGCAUCGGAACCUAUGGUGAAGCAGUGAAAUGCGUUGAUAUCAUAGGGAACACCAAGGGGGAAGCCAGAUGCCUGGGACUGUUCUGACGCUGAGAGACGAAAGCGUGGGGAGCGACACGGAUUAGAUACCCGUUUAGUCCACGCUGUAAACUAUGCCUGCUGGAUACCUGAAGUAAUUUGGGUGUCGAAGUUAACACGUUAAGCAGGCCGCCUGGGGAGUACGGUCGCAAGGCUAAAACUCAAAGGAAUUGGCGGGGACCCGCACAAGCGGUGGAGCAUGCUCUUUAAUUGGUUGCUAACCCAAGAACCUUACCCAGACUUGACAUUCGCCUGCAAAUCCAUCGAAAGGUGGACAUCCUUAGAGGGUGGCUAACAGGUGUUGCAUGGCUGUCGUCAGCUCGUGUCGUGAGAUGUACCCUUAAGUGGGUUAACGAGCGCAACCCCUAUUGCUAGUUGUAUCACUCUAGCGAAACUGCCUCGGUAACGGGGAGGAAGGUGGGGACGACUUCAAGUCGGUAUUGCCUUUAUGUCUGGGGCUAGAAGCAUGCUACAAUGGCGCAUACAACAAGUUGCAACGCGGUAACGCGAAGCUAAUCUUUAAAAGUGCGUCUCAGUUCGGAUUGAGGGCUGAAACUCGACCUCAUGAAGCUGGAAUCGCUAGUAAUCGCAGGUCAGACAUACUGCGGUGAAUACGUUCUCGGGUCUUGCACACACCGCCCGUCACGUCAGCAAAGCUGGGGCCACCUUAAGUCUGACGUUAGUUGGCCCAAGGUGGAAUCAGUGAUGAGGAUGAAGUCGUGUAAUAGUAAGUGUUGCGACUUGCAAAAGUAAUUU